rnacentral:rRNA from 1 species
GGAGUCUAGCAUGUGCGCGCGUCAUUGGGAUUGCACUAAACCUAAAGGCGAAAUGAAAGUGAAGGAUCGCUCGCGCGUUCCGAGGGAGGAUGGGUCGAGUCACGGCUCGGCCCCGCACUCCCGGGGCGUCUCGUUCUCAUCGCGAGAUGAGGCGCACCCAGAGCGUACACGCUGGGACCCGAAAGAUGGUGAACUAUGCCUGGUCAGGACGAAGUCAGGGGAAACCCUGAUGGAGGUCCGUAGAGCUUCUGACGUGCAAAUCGAUCUUCGGAACUGGGUAUAGGGGCGAAAGACUAAUCGAACCAUCUAGUAGCUGGUUCCCUCCGAAGUUUCCCUCAGGAUAGCUGGCGCUCGCUUUCGCGAGUCUCAUCCGGUAAAGCGAAUGAUUAGAGGCAUUGGGGUCGAAACGGCCUCAACCUAUUCUCAAACUUUAAAUGGGUGAGAUCUCCGGCUUGCUUAAACGCUUGCGUGGUGAAGCCGCGAGAUCGGAUCAGAGUGCCAAGUGGGCCACUUUUGGUAAGCAGAACUGGCGCUGUGGGAUGAACCAAACGCAGAGUUAAAGCGCCGAAAUCGACGCUUAUGGGAUACCAUGAAAGGCGUUGGUAACUUAAGACAGCAGGUCGGUGGCCAUGGAA